CGCAACCCUUAUCCUUUGUUGCCAGCGGUCCGGCCGGGAACUCAAAGGAGACUGCCAGUGAUAAACUGGAGGAAGGUGGGGAUGACGUCAAGUCAUCAUGGCCCUUACGACCAGGGCUACACACGUGCUACAAUGGCGUAUACAAAGAGAAGCGACCUCGCGAGAGCAAGCGGACCUCAUAAAGUGCGUCGUAGUCCGGAUUGGAGUCUGCAACUCGACUCCAUGAAGUCGGAAUCGCUAGUAAUCGUGGAUCAGAAUGCCACGGUGAAUACGUUCCCGGGCCUUGUACACACCGCCCGUCACACCAUGGGAGUGGGUUGCAAAAGAAGUAGGUAGCUUAACCUUCGGGAGGGCGCUUACCACUUUGUGAUUCAUGACUGGGGUGAAGUCGUAACAAGGUAACCGUAGGGGAACCUGCGGUUGGAUCACCUCCUUA
rnacentral:rRNA from 1 species